GGAUUGCAGCCUGCAACUCGGCUGCAUGAAGCUGGAAUCGCUAGUAAUCGCGAAUCAGAAUGUCGCGGUGAAUACGUUCCCGGGUCUUGUACACACCGCCCGUCACACCAUGGGAGUUGGAAAUGCCCGAAAUCAGUGACCCAACCGAAAGGAGGGAGCUGUCGAAGGUGGAGCCGGUAACUGGGGUGAAGUCGUAACAAGGUAAC
rnacentral:rRNA from 1 species